rnacentral:rRNA from 1 species
GACGAACGCUGGCGGCGUGCCUAAUACAUGCAAGUAGAACGCUGAAGGAGGAGCUUGCUUCUCCGGAUGAGUUGCGAACGGGUGAGUAACGCGUAGGUAACCUGCCUGGUAGCGGGGGAUAACUAUUGGAAACGAUAGCUAAUACCGCAUAACAGUAGAUAUUGCAUGAUAUCUGCUUGAAAGGUGCAAAUGCAUCACUACCAGAUGGACCUGCGUUGUAUUAGCUAGUUGGUGGGGUAACGGCUCACCAAGGCGACGAUACAUAGCCGACCUGAGAGGGUGAUCGGCCACACUGGGACUGAGACACGGCCCAGACUCCUACGGGAGGCAGCAGUAGGGAAUCUUCGGCAAUGGACGGAAGUCUGACCGAGCAACGCCGCGUGAGUGAAGAAGGUUUUCGGAUCGUAAAGCUCUGUUGUAAGAGAAGAAACGAGUGUGAGAAGUGGAAAGUUCACACUGUGACGGAUUUUACC